CUCGGUUUGAUCUGAAAUGUGCUACACGAACGAUGCAUAGUAUUGUAGGUCUUAACUGAAGCUUUCAAACGGUAGUUUUAGGAUACAAUUAGCGCGUAUACCACCACUCCAUUGGCUUAUAUGGUAGCUUGCCAGCUAGAUGCUAUACACACCCUCAACUCUUCAACGAUGGAGGCAGCAUCUAAGAAGUCCCACAAAUACUCUCAGGAGCGCAGAGCGGAGAAGGGAAGGAAAAAACCAAACACUUUGAGCGGACCAUUUUCAAGUUUCAAUCACCUGGCAAAGAAGGUGGAGAUCAGGCUGGCCUGGAGCCUGUUGAGAGAAUAAAGGGCAGAUCAUCGCCAGCGGGAGAGAGAUCCAGUAAUGACGAGCAAGGAGCUCAGCUGUCUGAAGAAUUUCAAAAGCCACGGUGCCGCCGAAGUAAAGGGGAGCAAUCCAAUACAUUUUGUAUCAACUACACUUGACUGAAUAACAAUGUUAAAAGAUCUACAUCAAUUUGCAUGGAAUGCUUCUCUACGAGGAGCAAAUGGAAAAAAUGCAAGAGCGUCGUAGUCUAUGUGCUUGGCUGUAUUUUCUUUUAACAUCGUUAAAAGAGUUAACGUCGUGUUCACAU
ensembl:lncRNA